UAGAUUUCUGUCGUGUCGUAGUCGGCGUCCAUUCCCCACCCUUCUGACGAUUUAUCCAGCACACAUGCCCCCCUCCCUUAUCCCUUCCCCCAAUCCGUCCACAGCGACACGGGUCAGCUUGGCGGCGUGGUGCCGGCGACAAUGGAUCUUGGAUCCGGUGAGCUAGCGGAGCCGAGCGGCUCAGCAUCUGCAAACGCGGCGAGGGAGGAGCAGGACAUCGGCCGCUGUGGGAGGGCGCCGGCGGGGGAGAGUCGCUUGACAUUGACAGCUCAUGCGACCCUCGCGUAGCAGGAGGCGCCGGUGCGACGGGAGGAGGUAAGCGGUUCAGUGCGGAACAGCUCGUGCGACCGCGACGUGUGAGGCGACUUCACGUGGUGCGGGAGCUAACUGGUUCAGCAUCGGCAGCGUUCAAGACUGCAAGUCGCAAGGUUUGCCCCCUUUCAAACUACUUGUUCACGUGGUUCUCUCCUUCACUUGAGUAUCGAGGCAGCUAUGUGUGUUGCUUCCAUCGUUCGGGAGAUGAUUCACCGUGGAGGUGUGGAGAAGACGUGGGGAGAGCAGGGGGAUUGGUACACAAGAGAAAUUUUUCCCAUCAAAUUAGUUGGGCAGUUUGGCGUGUACUGGGAAUUGUAGAAAGGAUUGAGAGGUAAUUAUGGACACUGUGUUUGAAUCACUGGGGCAAUUUUUGCAGGCAAUAAUAGAUAGACAAUUAUGAUUAUCAGUUUGUUUAGGAGUUGUCGAAUUGGGACAUAGCAGUAUCCUGCAUCAGUUAUCCUGAAUGUUGUCUCAAAGAUGAGUUUAGAAGCAUAUGCCAUACUCUAUUUGAAAGUUCAGAGUUGUUGUUUUUUUCUCAAAGAAUUGAUGUGCUGUAGCAAGGGAAAUCUAGAUGGAUGGGAAGGACAUGAUUCAGCGGUGGUGGUCUGGGUUUUGUGGUUUCACUUCUUGGUGUUUUGCGUCCGCAGCUACGGUUUCCGGCGAGGUUCCAGUCAUCGUGGAUUUGGUGGGUAGAUGGGGCAUAGGGAUGGAUUUCUUGGUUUGGUCCCAGCGUGUGUUGCGCUGGGACUACCGGAUGAGAUUCUAGGUGGUGAUGCAGCCUAUGUUUUUCUUCGACAGAUCUGGGUAGCUGCACGGAGAGCAUUACUUAGUUGGCUAGUUGGAUUAUGUAGUUGCACAGGAACGGUAGGGAAGUUGACUGCAUUGCAUAAAAGCACGUUCAGGCACUCUGGGUGUUUCUGCACACACAUAUACUUAGUUGGUAUGCAAUGUAGUCUAGUUGCACACGCAUUGAUGUUUAGUUGGUAGGACUAGUUGCACCCACAUAUGCUCAGUUGGCCUGCAAUGUAGUCUAGUUACACACACAUUGAUGUUUAGCUGGCAGGACUGGUUGCACACACUUAUGCUCAGUUGGCCUGCAAUGUAUUCUAGUUGACACACAUUGAUAUUUAGUUGGCAGAACUAGUUGCACACAAACAUAUGCUCAGUUGGCCUACAAUGUAUUCUAGUUUGACACACAUAUGCUCAGUUGGCCUACAAUGUAUUCUAGCUUGACACACAUUGAUGUUUAGUUGGCAGGACUAGUUGCACAUAUAUGCUCAGUUGGCCUGCAAUGUAGUCUAGUUGCACACACAUUAAUGUUUAGUUGGCAGGACUUGUUCACACACAUAUGCUCAGUUGGCCUGCAAUGUAGUCUAGUUGCACACAUAUUGAUGUUUGGUUGGCAGGACUAGUUGUACACACAUAUGCUCAGUUGGCGCGCCAUGAGGAUGCAGAGCUGUUGUCGCGCGCUGUGAUAGGAUGCAGAGGAGGCGGCGGGAGGAUGCAGAGUUGCUGCCGCGCGUGGUGACAACUGUGGGGAACCGCGUGCGGCAACAACGGUUGCUCGGGGUUGCUGCAGGAGUGGAUCACAGGGGGUGCGUGAUGCUUCGUUUCUACGAUUGCACGGGACUCAGACGAAGUGCUAGUCCUCACGGGAUUGACUGCAUUGCAUAUGGGCUAGCCGUUUUGCUUUAGGUGUCCAAUUUUAGUUGUUUUUUAGAGAGGUCUGGUGAAGUUGCACGCAGAGUAGUACAUAGUUGGCUAGUCAGGUUCUUUAGUUGCACAAGAACCUCUAGGUAGUCGGCUACACUUCACAAAGCAUGUUCAGUCUGGGGUGUAUUUUUUGCACAUACAUGUAUACUCAGUUGGCUUGCAUUGCUGUCAAAUUGCACACAAUGUAUUUGUAGUUGCAUACCACACAGAUGCUUAGUUGGUUUGCUCUCAUUGUUAACUGAAUAAUCAAUGACAUUUUGCCGAUUAUAUGAUACGCCUGCCACCGAUGAUGAUUUUUGCAUUUUUUUGUAUUGCUACAUGAUUUGGUUCUUGUUUUUCGUGGCUGUAACUAAAUUCCUCUAGUGAUCUAGUUAAAUUAUGUAGAAUUUGCAUACCAGAGGCUGCUUAUGGGCAAUUCACACAAGCCAUUGCCAAUAUUUUGAUUUCUUUUUUGAUUUUUCUGCACAUGAUUUUGUAUCAGUGGUAGGCUUGCAUAACUAGUGCUUGAAAUAGCAGGGCGUCUGUAAGAGAGACGCAUGACAUCCUAUUUCAAUUCCUGCAAUUUAUCCAAUUUGGUAAUUUUUGUAGUACUAGUUGGCCAUUGUAGCAUCCCUACAUGGAUAUGAGUAUGAGGAAGUUGCACGAUACGGCCAUACUUAGUUGGCAGUUUAAUUAUCUUGUUUUCUCUAGUCACAUUUUUUGUUGGCAUCUCUAGCAGUUGUAGUUGCACACGAACCUUAUAGUAGUUGGCUUCAUAUAUCAUGCAAGUUUCUUUCAUACACGAAACUGAUUCAAGUUGGCACCCCUAUAGUUCGUAGUUGCACAUGAACCUUAUAGUAGUUGGCAUCCAUAUAACGCAUAGCUGCACAUGAACCUGAUAGUUUGUCAUCUUUUAAAAUUCACUAUUUCAAUUAGACAGACCUAACAAGUUUCUUGUCUUAAUUAUUUCAAUUAGAGGUGUGUGUAAGUAAUUUGCCACAUCCAACCACAUGGGAUAGCAAUCUAAUCACCAUAGUUGUUAAGAUGAACUUGAAGGGGUAUGGUGUGUUUGUCAAGCUACAAGUGAGUAGACCUUUUUGCUCGCCUUCUUUUGUUUUUGAAUACAUCUCCAUUUUUUACUUGCACAUGUUUGUUCUGGUAGUUGCACAACUAGGCAUACCAGUCCGGCACAAUAACCCAUGGUAGUUGCACAGAGGCUUGUACCUUUUUCUCUCAAAGGUAGUGGAAGAGGGAACAAACAAACAAAUCAGCAUGAGUUUGAAAUAAACAAAUCAAAUUUUGGCAGCACCUUUUUUUUAUCAAACUAAGCAUCCAAGUAAAUUCUCUUAGUUACACACGUGGGUCUAAUCAGUAGCAUAGAUGCACCCACAAGUGCACAAAUAACACAUAGGACGUGUUUUUUGUUGUUAUAUUACAUUUUUUUCUUCGGUUUUCAAGCUUUUCACACAUGUCCUAUUCUAGCUGGCACAAUAUAGGCACAAAUCUGAAAGUACUUUUAUUCAAGUCAAGCAUCCAAACUAUUCCUGUUAGUUGCACAGAAGGAAACCAUAAGUUGCACACCACAAAUUUAUCUAGUUCCAAUAUGUUGUCAGGUUUGCCGCCACAUACAUUUUUCUAUUUUUCAAUAGUUUCACAUAGGGGAUUCUUCCAAUUUUGGCCAAGAUGACAUACAACAUGUGGUCCCAUGUCUUCUCAUGAAGUUUUUUAUUUUUUCAUGCAUCAACAAUCUUACAAGUAGUAACACAUCUUCUUUUUGUUUUGUUUUUGUCUGCCAACCGGGAGCUGGAUGGAUGCGCUUCUAACAAACAAAUUUUGCACAGAAGAAGUGAUCACCAAGAAGCAAUUUGCUACUCUGUCCUUUUCAGUUUCUUAGUCAUUGUUUGCCUUUUGAACUAAAACAUGAAUAGAUUAUAGAUAUAUCUAGUAGACUAGGUGCAACAAGCCAGAACAUAUGGCCUAUAUAUGUUACAUUUUCUUUUUUUAAGCAGGAUGUUCAUUUGUUUCAUGCAUGUGCGGGCGUGCGCAUGCGCGUGCAAUAUGAAACAGAAGUUGGCUGGAUUACCAAAGUUGCACAAUAUGCAACCCCAGGAACUUGUGCAAAAACACACAUACAACCCCAGGAACACAAACAUGUGUUCAUGGGGUUGUAUGUGUGUUUUUGCACAAGUUUGGGUGAACCAUUUGUGGAGCAGUUGCAGUCAACAUGAAGAUGAAUUGGAGAAGUUGAAUUCAAGGAGAAGAAGAAGAGGAACAUGUCACCUUGCUUCCUCCUUUUUUCAAGUUGAAGACCUACAAUAGCCUGAUCUUCCCUGAAAGCUCCUGAGAUAGGGAAGGCUCCCAUGGCGUGUUCCUGGUUGCUUCUUUUGAGGGGACGAAGAUGGUGGGCGAAGCAGUAGGAGAUGAUUGGUGAGAUCGGGAAGGAGGAAGAGAAAGGGAGGAAGGCAGAAUCAUGUGGGUUUUGGAGUGGGGCGCUGAGGACUGGUGUUUUUUGUGCGGUGGGGUUGGCCUUUCCCUUUCUUUCCUUCUUAGGAUUGGGUGGGGACAAAAACUUACUAUAUUUAGGAGGCCGCUCGGGACCGCUAAGGAGCCAACGGCUGCUCCUUAGACGCGUCCAUGAUUUAUUUAUUUAUUGUCUUCCUUAUGAGUGGCGGUCGGGGA